UUUACAUUCUGCAUGGAUUUCCCUGUUCUGGACGUGCCACACAUACGGGAUCAUACGAGAUACCAGCUCACUGAAUCCUCUCAUAACCCUAAAACAUCAGACAUCACAUGUGUGAGGACAAC